GAGGUGUCCCUUCCUGUAGAAUGCUGAUCUAAAACACACGUGGAUAAAGAACAGGUUUUUUCAUGCUCUGAGUAUCAUUGUCUCUCAUCUCUACUGAGUGCGCUGAUUGUUGCCGACUACAUUAUUCAAACCCUAUGAAAGAUACAUCUGGUAACAAGCUUCCUUGCUUGGAACAAGUCUCAGUCACCUUGCCAGACAACAUUACAUCAAUUGCAGCAUUAAUGCAAACUUAAUCGGCUCAACUCAAUCCUGAAUUUCUUCUAUGAAACCUUCUCCAGAUGCAUCAGAGAGAUGCAGAAAGAAUUAAAAGCAUCUCACCAGUGUCAUCAUCAAACUCUGAAAGAACAGCUUCAAUGCCAUCUUCACUGCUGGCUGAUCGUUCCUGAAUCCGACGAGGCAUAUUAGUUAGGCGCCCACUUAAGAAUAUAGGCUUUAAUGGCAUUUUGUAGAUUUUAGCCAGUAACUAUAAAAAAAUUAGAUCAUGUAAAUAAUACUAUAAUCUAA